rnacentral:rRNA from 1 species
ACUCUAGUUUGACAUUGUGAAGAGACAUAGAGGGUGUAGAAUAAGUGGGAGCUUCGGCGCCAGUGAAAUACCACUACCUUUAUAGUUUCUUUACUUAUUCAAUGAAGCGGAGCUGGAAUUCAUUUUCCACGUUCUAGCAUUCAAGGUCCCAUUCGGGGCUGAUCCGGGUUGAAGACAUUGUCAGGUGGGGAGUUUGGCUGGGGCGGCACAUCUGUUAAACGAUAACGCAGAUGUCCUAAGGGGGGCUCAUGGAGAACAGAAAUCUCCAGUAGAACAAAAGGGUAAAAGCCCAUUUCUGCCAUGGGAGUAGCCAUGUUUCUGAUAUCAUAAAUUGCGCAAGUACCAUUUUGAAAUACCGUCGCAAAUUGCAAGUCGUUUUCGGAAAAACAGUUAUAAAACCCAUGGUCUGAAU